UGUGGCCUCGCCCGUUGCGGAGCACAGGCUGCGGACGCACAGGCUCAGUGGCCAUGGCUCACGAGCCCAGCUGCUCCGCGGCAUGUGGGAUCUUCCCGGACCGGGGCAUGAACCCGUGUCCCCUGCAUCAGCAGGCGGACUCUCAACCACUGCGCCACCAGGGAAGGCCUAGAAGAAAGGAUUUAAGGCGGCUUAUAAAUAUGGGCAAGACCCAUCACUCCUACACAUGUGACUGUUCAAGCAUUUUGAUGAUGGUACACUUUAAAGUUGAACGCCAAGACUUCUUUCUGUAUGAUUAGUGUGUGUCUGCUUCUGGGGACUUCAGAAAAACUUUGGAGGCAGAGAGCUCACCAAACUUCAAAUCUGUGGGUAA